rnacentral:rRNA from 1 species
GAUGAACGCUGGCGGCGUGCCUAAUACAUGCAAGUCGAGCGAACAGACGAGGAGCUUGCUCCUCUUACGUUAGCGGCGGACGGGUGAGUAACACGUGGAUAACCUACCUAUAAGACUGGGAUAACUUCGGGAAACCGGAGCUAAUACCGGAUAAUAUAUUGAACCGCAUGGUUCUAUAGUGAAAGACGGUUUUGCUGUCACUUAUUGAUGGAUCCGCGCCGCAUUAGCUAGUUGGUAAGGUAACGGCUUACCAAGGCGACGAUGCGUAGCCGACCUGAGAGGGUGAUCGGCCACACUGGAACUGAGACACGGUCCAGACUCCUACGGGAGGCAGCAGUAGGGAAUAUUCCGCAAUGGGCGAAAGCCUGACGGAGCAACGCCGCGUGAGUGAUGAAGGUCUUCGGAUCGUAAAACUCUGUUAGUAGGGAAGAACAAAUGUGUAAGUAACUAUGCACGUCUUGACGGUACCUAAUCAGAAAGCCACGGCUAACUACGUG